rnacentral:rRNA from 1 species
GAUGAACGCUGGCGGCGUGCUUGACACAUGCAAGUCGAACGGGAAUUAUUUUAUUGCAACUUCGGUCGAUUUCAUUUAAUUCUAGUGGCGGACGGGUGAGUAACGCGUGGGUAACCUGCCUUAUACAGGGGGAUAACAGUCAGAAAUGGCUGCUAAUACCGCAUAAGCGCACAGAGCUGCAUGGCUCAGUGUGAAAAACUCCGGUGGUAUAAGAUGGACCCGCGUUGGAUUAGCUGGUUGGUGGGGUAACGGCCCACCAAGGCGACGAUCCAUAGCCGGCCUGAGAGGGUGAACGGCCACAUUGGGACUGAGACACGGCCCAGACUCCUACGGGAGGCAGCAGUGGGGAAUAUUGCACAAUGGGGGAAACCCUGAUGCAGCGACGCCGCGUGAAGGAAGAAGUAUCUCGGUAUGUAAACUUCUAUCAGCAGGGAAGAUAGUGACGGUACCUGUCUAAGAAGCCCCGGCUAACUACGUG